rnacentral:misc_RNA from 1 species
GAUGAAGAACGUAGCGAAAUGCGAUACGUAAUGUGAAUUGCAGAAUUCAGUGAAUCAUCGAAUCUUUGAACGCAUAUUGCGCUCUCUGGUAUUCCGGAGAGCAUGCUUGUUUGAGUAUCAGUAAACACCUCAACUUCCAUAUCUUUUUUGAAAUGGGAGUUGGACUUGAGUGAUCCCAACGCCUUUCCUCACCGAAAAGUGGCGGGUUACUUGAAAUGCAGGUGCAGCUGGACUUUUCUCUGAGCUAUAAGCAUAUCUAUUUAGUCUGCCUAAAAAACAGAUUAUUACCUUUGCUGCAGCUAACAUAAAGGAGAUUAGUUCUUGUGCUGACUGAUGCAGGAUUCACAAAGACAGGCUUCGGCCGACUUUGUAAACUCGAUCUCAAAUCAAGUAAGACUACCCGCUGAACUUAAGCAUAUCAAUAAGCGGAGGA